UGCCACCCCAGCCCCCACCGGACCCAGAGCUGGGGUCCCCCGAGGGGGCUGGGGGCCGGCGGGAUGUCCCAGGGGGGCAUCCCUCAGCCCCCCACCCCCCUCGAGGCUGGGCAGGGGGCACCGGUCUGUGGCCACACCGCGGCAAACGGCCCCCCAUCGGCGGUGUCACGGCCGAGGCACCCCCUGUCCCCGCCGUUCAGUGCCUUUCGGGGGGGGCCGUGUCCUCCAGCAGCACCGGGUCUCACCACCGGGUCUCUCCGGAGCCUCGAGGCCUGUGUUCCCCCCCCGUGGUGCCCCCACCCUGGUGGUGCCCGUGCGAUGCCGAAGGGUCCGGUCCCAGCAAAGCCGGUCGUGGAAAUAUUUCACCGGUUCCCGUUUCGCUUCCACCCGGAGCUCGUGGCUCAUGAGGCCUUGUCUGGCACCGGCCACCACUGUGUCCCCCCCCGUCCCAUCACCGAAAUCCCACCUUGGGGGGGGGACACUGGCACGGAGGAGCACCCUCCUGCCAUCGCCGGGGCCAGUCCCCCCGGGCACGGCACAGCCAGCACCGGGAAAGAGCCAGAAGGGACUGGAAGGGGCACGGAGCCACCCCGGCCACGGGGUCCCGCUCCUGUGGGUCCGGCCGGGAUCCAUCUGCCCCCCCCUCACCCCAACCAUUGCCAAAGCCCCAUCCGGCGGGAGGGGAGGGGGGGUCUCGCUCCCCCCGACCUGGGACGCAGCCACUGGCCUCACGCCUGGGGCACGUGGCCCGUCCCUGGGGAGGGGGCCGCGCGUGGCUGGGCUCUGGCUGGCGGUGGGGGCUACGGGGGCAACGACGGCGAUUCGGGGCUGGGAAGGACGGGAGGAGCCCCGGCCGGGUACCUCCCCCCCAAAGUCUUUAAGAGCCUCGAACAAGGGGGUGGCUGAGAGAGGUGGGACCCCCCUCCAUGGGCAUCAUGCCCCCCGGGCAUCGUCCCCCCCAUGGGUAUCAUCCCCCCACGUCGGGGCAGUGACAGCCACGGCGGGGUCCAGCCCAGUGCGGAGCC
rnacentral:lncRNA from 1 species